rnacentral:rRNA from 1 species
CAACCGUAAAAUUGCAGUUGAUACUGUCAGUCUUGAGUACAGUAGAGGUGGGCGGAAUUCGUGGUGUAGCGGUGAAAUGCUUAGAUAUCACGAAGAACUCCGAUUGCGAAGGCAGCUCACUGGACUGCAACUGACACUGAUGCUCGAAAGUGUGGGUAUCAAACAGGAUUAGAUACCCUGGUAGUCCACACAGUAAACGAUGAAUACUCGCUGUUUGCGAUAUACAGUAAGCGGCCAAGCGAAAGCAUUAAGUAUUCCACCUGGGGAGUACGCCGGCAACGGUGAAACUCAAAGGAAUUGACAGGGGCCCGCACAAGCGGAGGAACAUGUGGUUUAAUUCGAUGAUACGCGAGGAACCUUACCCGGGCUUAAAUUGCAGUGGAAUGAUGUGGAAACAUGUCAGUGAGCAAUCACCGCUGUGAAGGUGCUGCAUGGUUGUCGUCAGCUCGUGCCGUGAGGUGUCGGCUUAAGUGCCAUAACGAGCGCAACCCUUAUCUUCAGUUACUAACAGGUCAUGCUGAGGACUCUGGGGAGACUGCCGUCGUAAGAUGUGAGGAAGGUGGGGAUGACGUCAAAUCAGCACGGCCCUUACGUCCGGGGCUACACACGUGUUACAAUGGGGGGUACAGAAGGCAGCUAGCGGGUGACCGUAUGCUAAUCCCAAAAUCCUCUCUCAGUUCGGAUCGAAGUCUGCAACCCGACUUCGUGAAGCUGGAUUCGCUAGUAAUCGCGCAUCAGCCACGGCGCGGUGAAUACGUUCCCGGGCCUUGUACACACCGCCCGUCAAGCCAUGGGAGCCGGGGGUACCUGAAGUACGUAACCGCAAGGAUCGUCCUAGGGUAAAACUGGUGACUGGGGCUAAGUCGUAACAAGGUAACC